rnacentral:lncRNA from 1 species
AUUUAGAGUUUGAUUUAGAGUUUAGGAUUUGGAUUAGGAUUUGGUUAGGGUUUGAUUUAGGGUUUGGAUUAGGAUUUGGAUUAGGAUUUAGAGUUUGGUUAGGAUUUGAUUUAGGGUUUGGAUUAGGGUUUGGUUAGGGUUUGAUUUAAGAUUUGGUUUAGGAUUUAGGGUUUGGAUUAGCGUUUAGGGUUGAUUUAGGAUUUGGUUUUGGAUUUAGGAUUUGAAAUAGGGUUUAAUUUAUGGUUUGUUUAGGAUUUGACUUAGGAUUUAGGAUUUAUUAGGGUUUAAGAUUUAAUUAGGUUUGGUCUAAAGUUUGAGUGAAAUUCAAUAGGGUUUUAACUAGAAUUAAAUUAAGGUUGAAUUGACAUAUAUUUGUGUAAUAUUUGUGAUCAUUCUAAUAUUUUUUUAAGAAUUCUAUUGUUUGUUUGAAAUUUCUUUGAGUUGUUUUGAAUUUAAUUACGUUGGUUUACCAUUAUUAUAGUCUAAUAAGAGCAUUGUUAGUAUUCUAUUAGAAUU